GGAGAGGUGCCCGAGCCUGGCUGAAGGGACACGAUUGGAAAUCGUGUAGAGGGGUAAAACCCUCUCGCGGGUUCAAAUCCCGCCCUCUCCG
rnacentral:tRNA from 1 species